CGACCAUCGCCCGCAGUUCGAACCAGGCGCUCCAUUUUUUUUCCUUUUUUUCCGUUCUCUUUUCUCACGCCCUCGCGCCGCCGCCAUCUCCAUCCGAGUUCCAGAUCCCCACCUCCGACCCUGACGUCCCCACUUCGCCUCCCCCACGCACGUCGCCGGGCGCCAGCCGGAGGACGCCCACGUUGCUACCGGAGGACACCCGCCGGCCGCGGCUGCCCCGCGCGCCGCCGCACGCGCUGCCAAGCCGAACCGCAUGAAGUCCCUUCGCGGAAACGAAGCGCAGAUUCGCCGCUCGCUUCCCCGCACCCGGCGGCGAGCUGCGGCCGCCCGCUGCAGGCCUGCCGUUGGCUCCCCACGCUCGGCAGAGCGCGGGCAAACGUGGCGGCGCCGCUGGCCGAGCCCCACGGGCCUGGCGCGAGCGCAGAAGCUGCCGCUGGCUGGUCCUGCUCUCACAAGCGCCAGACGCCGCCGCCUUGUUUCCUAGAGAAGCACGAGGGAGAUAGCUUAGCUUCUGGUGUUGGAGCUCAGGCCGCCGCCGCCUUGUUUCCUAGAGAAGCACGAGGGAGAUAGCUUAGCUUCUGGUGUUGGAGCUCAGGCCGCCGCCACCGCAGUCUCACUGAUCGUAAAAUCCAUUCGCCUGCGUCCGAGCAGAUAGCCACGACGUCCGAGCAUAGACCCAAACCCCUUGCAUUUGCUCCACGCUCACUUACUGUUUGAUGAAAUUUCAAUGCAUCGCACAUUUUUUGGUUUGCUAAAUUUGUUCUAAUUCAAAGUCUUUUAGACAUUCUUAUUCGGUUGCUAUCUUUAAUUGAACAAAAUAUUAUUUAGAUUGUAGCAUAUCUAACCUGAAGUUCUCACUAAUGAUUCUUAAUGUACAGUCAUCUUUGAAUCAGAAUAACCUUAUAUUUAGAUUGGAGUAUUUCUAACAAAAAAUUCUGACAAAAUGUUGUACCAGAACCGGGAAGACAAAGAAUACCAACGAAGCUUAUUUUCAUCACCAGCAAGCAGCAAGGAAUCAAAACAAUAGAAGCAAAAAGUUUGAACUAUGGAUCAUGUGCCUUAAAAUUUAUCUGUGGCGUUAGCACGGACGCAUGGGAAUGCACCGGUCCAUCAGUGCCUAACCUUGUCAUGGUUGCGGCGGCGGUCGUCCCAAUCCCAUCAUCUUUUCAGGACUUCUAAUUCUGCAGAUUCCGAGCCAGUUAACCCCGCAGAUCGUGAAACGGGAGCAUAGCAAAGCAACCAUUCUUGACAAGAUUUGCGAAGUUGGUGUAUCAUCAUUCGUAUCUGCUGUCCUACCAAUCUAUCUGUCUUGUCGUCGUUGUCCGGGUUACUUCUUUCAAAAAAAAUUCUGGUUCUGCAUCA